AUGAUCAGAUCAAAAGGGCAAGGUGGAAUGGGAUUCCGAGAUAUGUGGAUUUUUCAUCAGGCACUACUGGCUCGUCAAGCUUGGCGGUUGUUGCAAACACCGGAUAGUCUAUGUGCACGCGUACUGAAGACCCGAUACUACCCACAAGGCAAUUUACUAGACACCGUGUUUACAGGGCAACCCUCGUCAACUUGGUCUGCUAUAUCUUAUGGGCUGGAAAUUCUCAAGGAAGGCAUGAUAUGGCGCAUUGGUAAUGGUGAAUCGGUCUGCAUUUGGCAUGACAAUUGGAUACCACGCUCGUCUUUGCUCAAGCCGUUUAGCGCUCGAGGCCGGUCCAGACUCAUCAAAGUUUCCAGCUUGCUUGACGAACGAGGUACAUGGGAUGUAGCUGCUGUGCGGGCUAAUUUUCUACCGAUCGAUGCUAGGGCCAUUUUAUCCAUCCGUACCUCACCAUGA
rnacentral:rRNA from 1 species